rnacentral:piRNA from 1 species
UGGGUAAAUGUCUUAACCUCUGUGAC